rnacentral:rRNA from 1 species
GACGAACGCGGCGGCGUGCUUAACACAUGCAAGUCGAACGCUGAAGGCUCAGCUUGCUGGGCGGGAUGAGUGGCGAACGGGUGAGUAACACGUGAGUAACCUGCCCUCUUCUUUGGGAUAACGGUCGGAAACGGCUGCUAAUACCGGGUAUUCACUGUCCUUCGCAUGGGGGGUGGUGGAAAGGUUUUUUCUGGUGGGGGAUGGGCUCGCGGCCUAUCAGCUUGUUGGUGGGGUGAUGGCUUACCAAGGCUUUGACGGGUAACCGGCCUGAGAGGGUGACCGGUCACAUUGGGACUGAGAUACGGCCCAGACUCCUACGGGAGGCAGCAGCGGGGAAUAUUGCACAAUGGGCGAAAGCCUGAUGCAGCGACGCCGCGUGAGGGAUGAAGGCCUUCGGGUUGUAAACCUCUUUCGCUCAUGGUCAAGCCGCAACUUUGGGUUGUGGUGAGGGUAGUGGGUAAAGAAGCACCGGCUAACUACGUGCCAGCAGCCGCGGUAAUACGUAGGGUGCGAGCGUUGUCCGGAAUUAUUGGGCGUAAAGGGCUUGUAGGCGGUUUGUCGCGUCUGCCGUGAAAUCCUCUGGCUUAACUGGGGGCGUGCGGUGGGUACGGGCAGACUUGAGUGCGGUAGGGGAGACUGGAACUCCUGGUGUAGCGGUGGAAUGCGCAGAUAUCAGGAAGAACACCGGUGGCGAAGGCGGGUCUCUGGGCCGUUACUGACGCUGAGGAGCGAAAGCGUGGGGAGCGAACAGG